UGGGGAAUUUUGGACAAUGGGCGAAAGCCUGAUCCAGCAAUGCCGCGUGUGUGAAGAAGGCCUUCGGGUUGUAAAGCACUUUUGUCCGGAAAGAAAUGGCUCUGGUUAAUACCUGGGGUCGAUGACGGUACCGGAAGAAUAAGGACCGGCUAACUACGUGCCAACAGCCGCGGUAAUACGUAGGGUCCAAGCGUUAAUCGGAAUUACUGGGCGUAAAGCGUGCGCAGGCGGUUGUGCAAGACCGAUGUGAAAUCCCCGAGCUUAACUUGGGAAUUGCAUUGGUGACUGCACGGCUAGAGUGUGUCAGAGGGGGGUUAGAAUUCCACGUGUAGCAGUGAAAUGCGUAGAGAUGUGGAGGAAUACCGAUGGGCGAAGGCAGCCCCCUGGGAUAACACUGACACUCAUGCACGAAAGCGUGGGGAGCAAACAGGAUUAGAUACCCUGGUAGUCCACGCCCUAAACGAUGUCAACUAGUUGUUGGGGGAUUCAUUUCCUUAGUAACGUAGCUAACGCGUGAAGUUUGGACCGCCUGGGGAGUACGGUCGCAAG
rnacentral:rRNA from 1 species